AUUCAUCCCUCCCCUUAAGCAGAUGGCCCACUUAGAACGAUACAGAGAAGAUUAACAUGGCCCCUGUGCAAGGAUGACACGCAAAAUCGUGAAGUGUUCCACAUUUUU